rnacentral:rRNA from 1 species
CCUACGGGAGGCAGCAGUGGGGAAUAUUGCACAAUGGGCGCAAGCCUGAUGCAGCCAUGCCGCGUGUGUGAAGAAGGCCUUCGGGUUGUAAAGCACUUUCAGUGGGGAGGAAGGCGGUGAGGUUAAUAACCUCAUCGAUUGACGUUACCCGCAGAAGAAGCACCGGCUAACUCCGUGCCAGCAGCCGCGGUAAUACGGAGGGUGCAAGCGUUAAUCGGAAUUACUGGGCGUAAAGCGCACGCAGGCGGUCUGUCAAGUCGGAUGUGAAAUCCCCGGGCUCAACCUGGGAACUGCAUUCGAAACUGGCAGGCUAGAGUCUUGUAGAGGGGGGUAGAAUUCCAGGUGUAGCGGUGAAAUGCGUAGAGAUCUGGAGGAAUACCGGUGGCGAAGGCGGCCCCCUGGACAAAGACUGACGCUCAGGUGCGAAAGCGUGGGGAGCAAACAGGAUUAGAUACCCGUGUAGUC